rnacentral:tRNA from 1 species
GCCCAAAUGGCGGAAAUGGUAGACGCAACUGUCUUAGAAACAGUGGCAUAGGCAUAAGAGUUCGAAUCUCUUUUUGGGCA